AGUGAACGCUGGCGGUAGGCCUAACACAUGCAAGUCGAACGGCAGCACAGUAAGAGCUUGCUCUUACGGGUGGCGAGUGGCGGACGGGUGAGGAAUACAUCGGAAUCUACUUUUUCGUGGGGGAUAACGUAGGGAAACUUACGCUAAUACCGCAUACGACCUACGGGUGAAAGCAGGGGAUCUUCGGACCUUGCGCGAUUGAAUGAGCCGAUGUCGGAUUAGCUAGUUGGCGGGGUAAAGGCCCACCAAGGCGACGAUCCGUAGCUGGUCUGAGUGGAUGAUCAGCCACACUGGAACUGAGACACAGUCCAGACUCCUACGGGAGGCAGCAGUGGGGAAUAUUGGACAAUGGGCGCAAGCCUGAUCCAGCCAUACCGCGUGGGUGAAGAAGGCCUUCGGGUUGUAAAGCCCUUUUGUUGGGAAAGAAAAGCAGCAGGUUAAUACCCCGCUGUUCUGACGGUACCCAAAGAAUAAGCACCGGCUAACUUCGUG
rnacentral:rRNA from 1 species